rnacentral:rRNA from 1 species
UACGUAGGGAGCAAGCGUUGUUCGGAUUUACUGGGCGUAAAGGGCGCGUAGGCGGCCACCGCAAGUCGACUGUGAAAUCUCCGGGCUUAACCCGGAAAGGUCAGCCGAUACUGCGGGGCUAGAGUGCAGAAGGGGCAACUGGAAUUCUCGGUGUAGCGGUGAAAUGCGUAGAUAUCGAGAGGAGCACCUGCGGCGAAGGCGGGUUGCUGGGCUGACACUGACGCUGAGGCGCGAAAGCUAGGGGAGCGAACGGG